GACGAACGCUGGCGGCGUGCUUAACACAUGCAAGUCGAACGGAAAGGCCCUGCUUUUGUGGGGUGCUCGAGUGGCGAACGGGUGAGUAACACGUGAGUAACCUGCCCUUGACUUUGGGAUAACUUCAGGAAACUGGGGCUAAUACCGGAUAGGAGCUCCUGCUGCAUGGUGGGGGUUGGAAAGUUUCGGCGGUUGGGGAUGGACUCGCGGCUUAUCAGCUUGUUGGUGGGGUAGUGGCUUACCAAGGCUUUGACGGGUAGCCGGCCUGAGAGGGUGACCGGCCACAUUGGGACUGAGAUACGGCCCAGACUCCUACGGGAGGCAGCAGUGGGGAAUAUUGCACAAUGGGCGGAAGCCUGAUGCAGCAACGCCGCGUGCGGGAUGACGGCCUUCGGGUUGUAAACCGCUUUCGCCUGUGACGAAGCGUGAGUGACGGUAAUGGGUAAAGAAGCACCGGCUAACUACGUGCCAGCAGCCGCGGUGAUACGUAGGGUGCGAGCGUUGUCCGGAUUUAUUGGGCGUAAAGGGCUCGUAGGUGGUUGAUCGCGUCGGAAGUGUAAUCUUGGGGCUUAACCCUGAGCGUGCUUUCGAUACGGGUUGACUUGAGGAAGGUAGGGGAGAAUGGAAUUCCUGGUGGAGCGGUGGAAUGCGCAGAUAUCAGGAGGAACACCAGUGGCGAAGGCGGUUCUCUGGGCCUUUCCUGACGCUGAGGAGCGAAAGCGUGGGGAGCGAACAGGCUUAGAUACCCUGGUAGUCCACGCUGUAAACGGUGGGUACUAGGUGUGGGGUCCAUUCCACGGGUUCCGUGCCGUAGCUAACGCUUUAAGUACCCCGCCUGGGGAGUACGGCCGCAAGGCUAAAACCCAAAGGAAUUGACGGGGCCCCGCACAAGCGGCGGAGCAUGCGGAUUAAUUCGAUGCAACGCGUAGAACCUUACCUGGGUUUGACAUGGAUCGGGAGCGCUCAGAGAUGGGUGUGCCUCUUUUGGGGUCGGUUCACAGGUGGUGCAUGGCUGUCGUCAGCUCGUGUCGUGAGAUGUUGGGUUAAGUCCCGCAACGAGCGCAACCCUUGUUCACUGUUGCCAGCACGUUAUGGUGGGGACUCAGUGGAGACCGCCGGGGUCAACUCGGAGGAAGGUGGGGAUGACGUCAAGUCAUCAUGCCCCUUAUGUCCAGGGCUUCACGCAUGCUACAAUGGCUGGUACAGAGAGUGGCGAGCCUGUGAGGGUGAGCGAAUCUCGGAAAGCCGGUCUCAGUUCGGAUUGGGGUCUGCAACUCGACCUCAUGAAGUCGGAGUCGCUAGUAAUCGCAGAUCAGCAACGCUGCGGUGAAUACGUUCCCGGG
rnacentral:rRNA from 1 species